rnacentral:rRNA from 1 species
GAUUAUUUGAUCAACUAAGCCAUGCAGUCAGAGGGACUCUUCGGAGUCACAGGCAAACUGCUCAGUAACACUUCUAUAAUCUGCCCUUAUGUCAGGAAUAACCUCAGGAAACCGAGGCUAAAACCAGAUAGGGAAUUUCUACUGGAAGGUGUAAUUCCUCAAACUCGUGCAUAAGGAUGAGUCGGCGGUCGAUUAGGUUGUUGGUGAGGUAAAGGCUCACCAAGCCCACGAUCGGUACGGGCCCUGAGAGGGGUAGCCCGGAGAAGGACACUGAGAUACUGGUCCUAGCCCUACGGGGUGCAGCAGGCGCGAAACCUUUACAAUGCACGCAAGUGUGAUAAGGGGAUCCAAAGUGCUUUACUUUUAGUAUGGCUUUUGCCAAGAGUAAAUAUCUUGGCGAAUAAGUGGUGGGAAAGACUUGUGCCAGCCGCCGCGGUAACACCAGCGCCACAAGUGGCAACCGCUUUUAUUGGGCCUAAAGCGUUCGUAGCCGGUCUAGCAAAUUUUCUGUGAAAUCGAUGUACUCAAUAUAUCGACGUGCAGGAAAGACUACUAGGCUAGGGACCGGGAGGCGUCAGAGGUAUUCUGGAGGGAGCGGUAAAAUGCUAUAAUCUCCAGAGGACCCCCUGUGGCGAAGGCGUCUGACGAGAACGGAUCCGACGGUGAGGAACGAAAGCCAGGGGAGCGAACCGGAUUAGAUACCCGAGUAGUCCUGGCUGUAAACGCUGCGAGCUAUGUGUUGCAUAAUCUCCGUGAUUAUGCAGUGUCGAAGCGAACGUGUUAAGCUCGCCGCCUGAGAAGUAUGGUCGCAAGACUGAAACUCAAAUGAAUUGACGGAAU